rnacentral:rRNA from 1 species
AGAGUUUGACAUGGCUCAGGAUGAACGCUGGCGGCGUGGAUAAGGCAUGCAAGUCGUACGGUGCGUGUUUCAGCACGCACAGUGGCAGACGGGCCAGUAACACGUGGCUAACCUACCCCUUUCUCGGGGAUAACCUGGCGAAAGCCAGGCUAAUACCCGAUGGUCCCCCAAGAACAUAAGUUCUUGGGGGUAAAGGCGCAAGCUGGAAAGGGAGGGGGCCGCGGCCCAUCAGCUAGUUGGUGAGGUAAUGGCUCACCAAGGCUAUGACGGGUAGGGGGUGUGUGAGCACGACCCCCGGCAAGGGCAUUGAGAUACGGGCCCUACCCCUACGGGGGGCAGCAGUCGAGAAUCUUGGGCAAUGCCCCAAAAGGGUGACCCAGCGACGCCGCGUGAGGGAAGAAGCCCUUCGGGGUGUAAACCUCUUUUCUGGGGGAAGAAGCUCUGAAUCAUUUGAUUCAGAGUUGACGGUACCCCAGGAAUAAGGGGCUGCUAAUCACGUGCCAGCAGCCGCGGUAAGACGUGAGCCCCAAGCGUUAUCCGGAUUUACUGGGCGUAAAGGGGUUGUAGGCGGUUGGGUAAGUCGUAGGUUAAAGACCGCGGGCUUAACCUGCGGAAUGCCUACGAUACCGCCCGACUAGAGGACGUCAGAGGCCGGUGGAACGGUGGGUGUAGGGGUGAAAUCCGUUGAUAUCCACCGGAACGCCAAAAGCGAAGGCAGCCGGCUGGGGCGUUCCUGACGCUGAGGGCCGAAAGCCAGGGCAUAAAACGGGAUUAGAUACCCCGGUAUUCCUGGCCCUAAACGAUGGGCACUAGCCAUUGAAAGUGUCGACCCUUUCAGUGGCGAAGCUAACGCGUUAAGUGCCCCGCCUGGGGAGUACGGUCGCAAGGCUGAAACUCAAAGGAAUAGAC